ACAGAGGUAGAGAGAGAGAGAGAGAGAUAGCGAUAGAGAGAGAAAGAGGGGAGAGAAAGAGAGGAGAGAGAGAGAGGCUUUUGGGUUAGAUUGGAAUAAAAUAAAAUUUUGUUGCUGGAGAUGUCAUAAUUUCGACUGAUACGAUCUUCUUCGAUUUCGGUCAACCUCCUGUGCGAUAAAUUCUUCCGAGCAAUCAUCCCAGGUUGAACGGACUGCAUGGUGCCAGGCGCGGAUCUUGGCGGCGUUCGGUCGGUCGGUCGGGGUGGACCGAUCGGAAUGGGGGAUCAGAGCUCUGGAUCGGUCCCGGAAGAGUUUAUCGAGUUUUCUGCUGGAGCAGAGCUCGAAUCGGGCGAUCGAAGCCGGAUCGGAAUCGAGAACCGUUCUUCCGACUACGGAGACGGAGAUCGCCAUCGAUCUUGGCGGCGUUCGGUCGGUCGAGACCGAUAGAUCGGAGCGGAGGAUUCGAGGUCCGGAUCGAUCCCGGAGGUUUUGUCGAGCAUCUUGCCGGAGCAGAGCUCGAAUCGGGCGAUCGAGGUCCGAUCAGAGUCGUGAACAGUUAGUUCAUCCGACUACGAAGAUGAAUCUCUGAAACCAGAUCGAUCGAUGUGAAAGAGGGGAGAUUCCUGUUGUCUCCUUCUUCUUCCCUCGGUCGUUUCUCUGAAUCUCCUUCUUCUGUCCGCAGGAAAGGCGGAGCUCCAGAGGAGCAUCUCCAAUGUCAGGGAGACCUUGAGCGAUCAUCUCGGCGAUGUCGUGGAGGUCUGCGCAGAGGUCGGUUCCUCAUUACUCGAUGUAGGCUGGGCGGGAUCGCCCUCGUCCUUGGGAUCCCUCUUUUAGGGUUUUUCUUCACCAUCUUCCUCCUCUCCGCCAUUCUUGGAUCUCCAAGGACGGCGCGGGCGCCUUCUUCCACAACCUGCUGCAGAUGUGCCAUUCGAGAUUCUAACCCCAAUACAGGAGACAGAAAAAAAGUUUCAGUCCGAGCGAUCGCAGCAACCACUGCGAGAACCGAGCACGGAAUCAGAGAUGACAGGUGAGCCUAGUUCCUCAUGAUCAUCAGCAAUCCCGGCCAGCGAUCUCUUCUGUUCGUUCUCUCGUCGCAGUUCCUCGCAGAAUCCAUUCAGUUCCUUCAUCCUCUCCCAAGAAUUUCCUCGAAAAAGGGCAUCACAGAGCUGGCCCUGGUCGAUCAACACAGAGUUAAUUGCACAGAGAUGAGCCCCACCAGAUGAAAACUGGGGAGGCUCAGAGAUGGAUCUCUGCAAAAUUAUGCAGGCGGGAAGAACUUGUUGAGCUUAAAAGGCAGGGCGUAGAACUCCGCGGUCCGGGAAUCCCCCUUGAAGGUCCUGAACUUGUCCCACCAGUGCAGCCCCCGGUCCCUCCUCGCCACCGGAUCAUGCGCCUGCAGGGUGUUGUCGAGGAAGAAGGCCACCAGCGCCGCCACCACCGCCUCCGAGGAGAACACCACGUUGACCAUGUCAUUGAACUGCGACCCAC
rnacentral:lncRNA from 1 species